rnacentral:lncRNA from 1 species
GAAGGAGACCAAGUCCAGUGAGGAAUGGUUGAGAGAGUUGGGGACGAUCAAGAGGUGAUAUGAUUUGUUGUUGUUUAGUCGUUUAGUCAUGUCUGACUCUUUGUGACCCCAUGGACCAGAGCACGCCAGGCCCUCCUGUCUUCCACUGCCUCCCGCAGUUUGGUCAAACUCAUGCUGGUAGCAUUGAGAACACUGUCCAACCAUCUCGUCCUGUCGUCCCCUUCUCCUUGUGCCCUCCAUCUUUCCCAACAUCAGGGUCUUUUCCAGGGAGUCUUCUCUUCUCAUGAGGUGGCCAAAGUAUUGGAGCCUCAGCUUCACGAUCUGUCCUUCCAGUGAGCACUCAGGGCUGAUUUCCUUCAGAAUGGAGAGGUUUGAACUUCUUGCAGUCCAUGGGACUCUCAAGAGUCUCCUCCAGCACCAUAAUUCAAAAGCAUCAAUUCUUCGGCAAUCAGCCUUCUUUAUGGUCCAGCUCUCACUUCCAUACAUCACUACUGGGAAAGCCAUAGCUUUAACUAUACGAUAGCCAUCUUCAAAUAUCUGUCGCAUAGAUGAUGAAGCACAUUUGUUUUCCAGGGCAGGCAGAAAACAAUGAGUUCAAAUUAUAGGAAAUGGGAUUUCAGCAUUGGGAAGAGGUCCUUGCUGGUAACGAGCUUUUGACAGUGAAGACAACUGCAUGAGAAGGUGGUUGGCGCUCCUUCAUUAAAAGAUUUAAGCAGAGCCUGGAUAGCCUCCUAUCAAAGAUGCUGUCACAGUGAAUAUCCUGCAUCAGCAGGGCAUUGGACUAUAUGAUAUUUGACUAAAUGAUAUUCCAACUCUGUAAUUAUAUGAACUUAAUGGGACAACUUUUGAGAAAACAUGCUUUAUUGCAUGUUUUUGGUUUCCGUCAUGGCCAAUUUUGCAUGCUUUAGAUGUAAACUGUAUUGAAAGUAGAACUGCAUACAAUCCCAGUAGUUUAGCUUAGCUUAGUUUAGAGAAAAAGUGAGUAAAAGGUGACAAGAUAAAAAUUUGUAAAAUCCUGAGCUGGCAAGGAGAAAGUGAAUGCACAACAAAAAGGAUGUCUGGAGGGGCUUGAAAAAGGCUCUUGAGAGCUCCCAAAUAUUGGGAACUGAGCUGGGAAUAUGCAGCAAGAGGUUCCAUGCAUCCUAACCAGGACAGGUCCUCAUUUUAUGUAAAAUUCAGAAAGGGCCCUGGAAUAAUAUAGUUUUUAUUUUUUCAAGCCCUGUUGGUAUAUUAUGAACCUGACUCAUUUCUUUCAGUGGUUUUGCAGCUGUUCUAACUAUAAUUACUGUCAAAACGGGGAAGUAUACCUUGUAAUUUUUUUCUUUUUCAGUGGUUCAUGGUUAUGCUGGAAUGCAAAGCAAAUGGCUGUGCUGUAGACUUAGUUGAUAUUUCAAAUUAAUGAAUAUUCAUGUUGAAUAUUCGUGUUGAAUGAAUAUUCACAAACAAUCCCCGUGGAGUAAGGAAUGCUCUCUCUUACUCUCUUUCCACUUUCUUCUUGAACUUACCUGGAGUGGAUAAGUAGUAGUAUAAGUAAGUAUAAGUAGUAUAAAUACUACCCGACUGAAAAUAUAUAAUUUUACUAAAAGCUCAUACUCAGAAAUUCAUAAUAUUGAAAACUACAGAAUGUGAAGUCCUGCUUCCUAGCAGCAACAAGCUACUGGGACCAUAUGUUUGUAGUAUAUCCCUCUUCUCAUCCAGGAACGAUUCAAGGUGCAGGUUAUGAAGUCUUAUAAACAACUUGGCCCAACAUACUUUAGAGUCUAAGUCUUCUAGAGGUGACUCACAUGGUACUCAGUGACAGGUGGAGCCAGAGCCAAUGAUAGAUGGAGAAUUCCAGUUUUGUCCACAUCCUCCUUCCUGCUGAGUUCUACAAAGCCACGGAACAUAAGAAGAGCCUGCUGGACCAAGGCCAAUGGCCACCCAGAUCCCUGUAGGAGAACCUUAAGUAGGAAUGGAGCACAACAUCACUUUGCCCUCCUGUGAUUUCCAGAAACUGGUAUUCAGAAGCAUUACUGCCUCUUGACUGUGGAGGCAGAGCACAUCCAACAUUGCUAAUAGCCAUGGGUAGCUUUAUGCUCCAUGUGAAAUGAAAAUGAAAUUAAAUACUUUAUUGUUACUUGUACAACUUGUAUACAGUGAGAUUACACGAGCACCCUCCCACUCAGCUCUCUUAGUCUUAAUUCCCCUCGUUUACUGACGCACACCCACCAAACCCGAAAGUCAGUUGCCCUGUUGUUAUCUUUUCAUUCAGCAGCCUAACAGCCCACGGAUAGAAGCUGUUCUUUACCCUGUUGGUGCGACUAAUCAUGCUUCUUUAUCUUCUGCCCGAGGACAGGAGAUCAAGAAAGUGCCGGC